UACGAAGGGGGCUAGCGUUGCUCGGAAUUACUGGGCGUAAAGCGCACGUAGGCGGCUUUCUAAGUCGGGGGUGAAAUCCUGGAGCUCAACUCCAGAACUGCCUUCGAUACUGGAGAGCUUGAGUCCGGGAGAGGUGAGUGGAACUGCGAGUGUAGAGGUGAAAUUCGUAGAUAUUCGCAAGAACACCAGUGGCGAAGGCGGCUCACUGGCCCGGUACUGACGCUGAGGUGCGAAGGCGUGGGGAGCAAACAGG
rnacentral:rRNA from 1 species